rnacentral:rRNA from 1 species
AUUGAACGCUGGCGGCAGGCCUAACACAUGCAAGUCGAACGAGUGGCGGACGGGUGAGUAAUGUCUGGGAAACUGCCUGAUGGAGGGGGAUAACUACUGGAAACGGUAGCUAAUACCGCAUACCAUCAGAUGUGCCCAGAUGGGAUUAGCUAGUUGGUGGGGUAACGGCUCACCAAGGCGACGAUCCCUAGCUGGUCUGAGAGGAUGACCAGCCACACGGGAACUGAAACACGGUACAGCAUCCUAGGGGAGGCAGCGGGGGGGAAGAUUGCACAGUGGGCGCAAGCCUGAGGCAGCCAUGCCGCGUGUAUGAAGAAGGCCUUGGGGUUGUAAAGUACUUUCUGCGGGGAGGCGUGACCCGCAGAAGAAGCACGGGCAAACUCCGGGCCAGCAGCCGCGGAAUAC